rnacentral:other from 1 species
UGUCUCCUGCGGUGUUCGAUAUCUGUCCGGAACCCCUUGAGCCUACUUUGUCACCACGGGAGCCUGAACCCGGGUUGGGUGUGCAGGUCCGCGAGGUCAGCGGAAAGCCCGAAGACUCGGCGUGGCGCCCACUUGAGACUUUGUCUCAAGGUCGAAGAGAGAUGACGGCACAGGCGGGAGACAC